GAAGAGAUGGUUGAGCGGACCAAAGCGACAGAUUGCUAAUCCGUAGUACAGAUUAUCCGUACCGAGGGUUCGAAUCACUCUCUCUCCG
rfam:Picea glauca, whole genome shotgun sequence.